UUCAAAGGUAUUUGUUUUAUAGUAUUAUGAAAUAACUCCUUGGAAUCACUGCAACUUGAUACAUUAAAAUAUAAUUAUGCGCUAAAAGCGCAAGGAGGUUUCAUAUAUUAUGAAACAAGGUACUGUUAAAUGGUUCAACGCUGAUAAAGGUUAUGGCUUCAUUACUACUGACGAUGGUGACGUAUUUGUUCACUUCUCAGCUAUCAACAAAGACGGCUUCAAGUCAUUAGACGAAGGCCAAAAAGUUACCCUUGACGUUGAAGACAGCGACCGUGGACCACAAGCUGCUAACGUUACACCAAUUGAAGACUAAUUCAUUAGUUUAAAAUUUGAAAGAACCAGCGAUUUCGAUCGCUGGUUCUUUU
rnacentral:sRNA from 1 species